AUGAGCGUGAUACCCUCGGUGCCAACAUGUACACCAUCUUUGCCUUCGGCCAUUACAACAUGUCCUGAUGCUAUGUUCUAUCCUGCUGCGGAGCCCAUGGAAGAGCUCAGGGCCGACUGCAUCGGCUUCAGGCAGGACUUCUGGUACCAUGUCGGCUUCUGGGCCCGGCAGAGGGAUGCCACUGACGACAAUGAACAAAAAUACUUCUUCGCCGAGCUGCGAUUCGAGCGCCGGUCUAGACGGCUGGUGGUGGAGACAUGCACCCUCUUGGAAAAGCCGAUGUGCCGUUUCAAGACUAGGUGUGCGUUCUGCCCAGAUAGAUUCCAGAUAUUGCAUCCGAGUGAUGCUGAAGAGUUUACUUGUGGGAAGAAGAGGCACAAAAAGAAAUUCUUCAGGGAGAGAAAUAUGCUUGGCAGGCCUUUCAUGCUUAGAUAG
rnacentral:rRNA from 1 species